rnacentral:rRNA from 1 species
AGAACGAACGCUGGCGGCAUGCCUAAUACAUGCAAGUCGAACGAGAUCUUCGGAUCUAGUGGCGCACGGGUGCGUAACGCGUGGGAAUCUACCCUUGGGUUCGGAAUAACAGUUGGAAACGACUGCUAAUACCGGAUGAUGACGAAAGUCCAAAGAUUUAUCGCCCAAGGAUGAGCCCGCGUAGGAUUAGCUAGUUGGUGAGGUAAAGGCUCACCAAGGCUACGAUCCUUAGCUGGUCUGAGAGGAUGAUCAGCCACACUGGGACUGAGACACGGCCCAGACUCCUACGGGAGGCAGUAGUAGGGAAUAUUGGACAAUGGGGGCAACCCUGAUCCAGCAAUGCCGCGUGAGUGAUGAAGGCCUUAGGUGUAAAGCUCUUUACCCGAGAUGAUAAUGACAGUAUCGGAGAAUAAGCUCCGGACUAACUCCGUGCCAGCAGCCGC